ACGUUGAAACUUUCUGUAUUUCACAUCUUCCUUCUCUAGUUUUCUGAACCCAGAAAUUUUCUGUUAUUUUGCUUCCCCAUUGAUUAAAUAUCUUCUUUUGCUGCAAAAAUGCUACUAACCCUAACGAAAAUUGCCUUCUUUUUCCCUCAUUGUUCCAUUGUUUUUUCUUUGGUGUUAAAUAGAGCUGUUUUGUUUUUCUUUGUAUAGUAUAAAGCACUGAUUUACUUCAUUUCAUCAUUUCAACAUCAUGGUAUUGCAUUUCAUAGUUUUGAAAUCUUAUAUUCACUUUAAAAUGUUCUGAUUGCAACUUUAUAUGUAUGUAUUGAUUUAUUCUCAAAUUUUGAAGUGUAAGAUUGUCAUAUCACUGAGGUAAGUGGAGAAAUUAACACUUAACUGAAUGUCUUUGUUUGAGCAAGCUAUAAAUUUGGAGUUAUAAAGGGUAUUGUUUACUGUUUAGUAGUUUUAAUUCAUGAUUCAUCUAUGAUUUGUGUUUAAUAUGAAAGGGUUUUAACUUAGAGUCUAAGUUUGUGGUUGUGAAAGUAAGUUUUUUUUCCCUUUACUGUGAAAGCUGCUAUGAGCUAUGAUUGUAUGUUUGCAUUUUUAGAUGUGGGAUACCUGAAAUAAUCACUUCAUGAAUGUAAUUUAUUUCGAUAUGCGAAAUGUAGAGAUUUCCAAUCACAUUGAGAGUGUAGGUAACUCAAUCAACUCAUUCUGUUUUAUUUGGAAGUUGGGUGGUUUUGUUAUCUCAUUUUUGUUAACCAAGUAAUUUCCUGUCUUAUUUUUAAGAUAUGCAACUACCUUUUAUUGUUAUGUAAACCGAUUGACAUGUUAUCUUCUUUUUUUCUUGAUAUAUAAGUACGUUGCAUGAUGAGUGAAAGAGCUGCAUUAGAUAUUGAGUGUAAACCCUAGCUGUAGUUAACGAUGUCUCUUUACUUCAAUCUUUCGGCGUGUGAAUUUGAUUAUAUGUAGCUUGACAUAUAAAUCAAGCAUCGAUGAUGCUUGGGUGUUUUCGGUUGCUGGAUUAUUUUUUCAGCCAGACAUCAAAUGGCUUGCAUUGUACAAGGCUUGUGUUAACUAUUAUUUGUUGGCAAUUAUGCUCAUAGUAUGUCAAAUUGCUCUUCAUAUUAAAAGAGGAUACAAUUAGUGUCCUAUAUGCGUGUUUUCUCCCUAUUAUUGUUGUUUAUUUGACAUUUAUACGAAAGUUGGUGUACUACAUUUGCACUUUUAAAGAUGAAGUUGGCAUUGCGUCUUCCAGAUUCCCUAAGGAGUAAUUUAGAGUUUCGGACUACUUUAAAUUUUGUUUAGAUGCUCAAAUUUCAUAGGUAUAGCUCGAAAUGUUAACUAGUAUAGCCUAGUGGGAACUUGUUUGAUGAAUAGUUUUUUUUUUUUUCCUAUUAUAUAUAGAAGUUGCUUAGUUUUGGCUGGUCAUCUCCUAGUUUAUGACAGGGAAUUGGAUAUGAUGGUAAUAAGUAAAAGGUUUGAGCAGGAUAUAUUGCCAAGGGUAGUACUCAAUUUGAAGAGGGCCCCUGUCCUUGUAUGAGUUGCAUUGUGACAUUCGCAACCUCUUCUAUAGCAACAAUGUGCCAAGCACCAGUUUGGUUUGUGGGUUGAAUUAAAAGGCAUGGGCUGCAUUCUAGAAUUGAAUGUCAGUUUAGACUUCUCCCUACAGCAUACCCUGCUCUAUAUACUGCAUUUGAUAACAAAACUUCAUGCUGAUCCUUCCCUGUUAUGUCCAAACCUGGGAAGCACUGUCUAUAAGACUAUAUUAUAAUUGUGUAGGAGUAGGUUUCCCCUCUCCCUGUCAAAAGUCCUGAACACACACACACACACACACACACACACACACACACACACCAAAAGAGAAGGAAAGGUUUGUUCAUUCGCAAGUGAAUUUGAAGGUUAAUUUGGUCGAUUACUUUCAUUGAUGAGUGCAGGCAUCCUCAGCUAGGCCUUCUAAGGAACUCUGGCAAGUUUCAAGGCAGUGCAAAAUGCACCUAUCCAUCUGCAUUUGACUCAGUUCUUAUGUUUUUCUAUGCGUUGAUUUGAAGCAGUUGCACGGAUGAAAAAUUGAAGACCUGUGAUAUCUGCAAGGUUAUACUGAAAAUUAUCAUUUAUUUACAGUUUAUCAUAUGUUGAUUAUUAUGUUUUUGAUCAAAGGAUGUCGAACUGUCGAAGUUGCCUAACAGAGUUAUCACUUAUCAGUUAGGAGGAAUUCUUUAACCUGGAGAAUGGAUGUUCCAUUUUUUGUUUGUAUGGUUUAGAAUGAGUGAUAUAUAGAUUUUCCGAAAGUGAGAUUUAUUUUGAGGAUGAAAAAUAUUUUGAAGGAAGGAACGACACAUUUACCUACAUUUUCCUCCUUUUCAAUUCACCACACUCCGUCAUCUUCCAAAAGUUAAUAAUGAUUUACCUUAGGAAAUGUUUUUAUGGAAAAUAGUUUUUAUUAUCCUCAUUUGAUAGUAUCUCACUAUCUCUUCAUUGGAUAAGUAUCGAACGGAGAUAAUGAAUUUGUGGAGUUGCAAUAAGUGCACGUACAAAAAUGUCCCUUCUUAUAUUUGGUAAAGAAUAUAAUAUUAAGCAUUUCAAUUUCGAUAAAAAAUAGCUAGAAUUGUACUCGACUUGUUACCUUAACAAGUCGAGUCGAGCACAAGCCGAGUCGAACACAAGUCAAGUCGAGCACAAGUCAGCUUGUAACUGGCUUGCUUGAUAAGAUGAACUUUGUUUCAAAAUGACUCAUUUCACUUUAAAAAUGACUCUUUUGAAAAAUGAUAUGAUCAACCACUUUACAAUCAAACAAAAUUUUAUUAUUGUAAAUUAAGUUUCGCCAAAGUGAUUAUAUUUUGGGAAAAAGAGUCCGUACAAACACUUUAGAAUUAAUCUCGACCUCCUAUCGUGCAAUCAAAUGAGCCAUACAAGUACCGGACCUUCUAAGUUCUAACAUGCCUAAGCAUCAAAUGAUUUACAAAUUUGACCUGACUUCAUCAUAUACUAGAAAAAUAAGAGCAGCAGCAUGAGUAUCCUUUGCAAAUAUUGUGACAAACAUGCAUUGCAUCUCCUCUAAGAUCACAUUAGGGACCAUACUAAGAUGGCCUUUGCCUCCACCAGUUCCACAGACCAAACACUGGCCCAUCUCCGCGCAACCACCUCCGCCACCUUCCAAUACACCACACUCCACCGUCUGCAUAUAAGUGGGCAUCAAUAUUGAUUUUCACACUAUGAAGCCCAUGAAACAUCAGAGGCAAUUGAAGUUGUAAUUUUAUUUUCCAAAUAGUCUGACUCGUGAUUUCCUGUUGGAUAUGUUUUGUUGGUGAUUGGUGACUUUCUAGAUCCAACAAGUUGAUGUUGAGGUGUUGGGUUGUGUUUGACAACAAUAUGUAGUAUUUUUUUGUCUCAUAUAAAUAUUGGGAUGACCUCAUUUGCCUCACAUAUUUAGAAUAUAAAUCUACCACUUUUAUCAUACACCUGAAUAUAUAUAUCGUAAGUAUUGUAUA